rnacentral:rRNA from 1 species
AGAACGAACGCUGGCGGCAUGCCUAACACAUGCAAGUCGAACGCUCUUGAGGCUUCGGUUUCAAGGGAGUGGCGCACGGGUGAGUAGCGCGUGGGAACCUGCCCUGUUGUGGGGGAUAACCGAGGGAAACUUCGGCUAAUACCGCAUGCGCCCGGGGAAACCCGGGGAAAGAUUUAUCGCAGCAGGAGGGGCCCGCGUCGGAUUAGGUAGUUGGUAGGGUAACGGCCUACCAAGCCUUUGAUCCGUAGCUGGUCUGAGAGGAUGAUCAGCCACACUGGGACUGAGACACGGCCCAGACUCCUACGGGAGGCAGCAGUGGGGAAUAUUGGACAAUGGGCGCAAGCCUGAUCCAGCAAUGCCGCGUGAGUGAUGAAGGCCUUAGGGUUGUAAAGCUCUUUCGCCCGCGACGAUGAUGACGGUAGCGGGAGAAGAAGCCCCGGCUAACUUCGUGCCAGCAGCCGC